GCGCAUGCUCAUCUACAGAAACGCCGCUUGGCCUUUGGACUACACCGUCUGUCGCUCUAACGAGCCGGCGUCGCCGCCAGGGGACGCUCGGGCCGCAGGAAGGUCGCUGGGUCGUGAGCUGGCGCCGGGGACGCCGAGCGACUGCGGGGUUUCCCUCAGCGUCCUGCUAUCCGGCUGCCCGCCGCGCUCCUUGGUAGUGUCCGUGGGAGCGCAGGCCUUGAAGAACCUCCUCGUGGCGGGCCCCCGAGCGCAGGAGAGGUGUCAAAGAGCUGGCGCGUCUCCAGAGCCCCGGGAGGAAGGCUGUAACGGCAGCCCCAUCGUAGACAGGGACAUUCGCAUCCCGAGCCCUGGAUCUCUGAAAACCAGCCCAGAAUUUGGAAGCUGGAAGGAACUUUAGAUCGUCCAUUCUGAGUGUCUCUCUUCGCUGGCGUUUUCCCACUGAGGUUAUGUAAACAUGAAGAGGAGCCUACAAGUGUCAAGGAAAAAACGACAGCUAACCACAGGGCAGGCCAUGGGCAAGAUAUCUCAGUGUUCUCCGCUCUCAUAGGUCAGAGUGAGACUCACCUAGGCUGGACUGCAAUGGUGCAAUCUCGGCUCACUGCAACCUCCGCCUCUCGUGUUCAAGCCAUUCUCCUGCCUCAGCUUUCCGAAUCGCUGGGAUUACAGGUCAUGACCCCCAGGAGACCUGGAGGACUGAAUGCUGCUGUCCCCAAGGAGGAGGCUGCCGUCUUAUCCCAGGAGGGAGAGCAGGUGAAGUCCCCAGGGGAGGAAGCACCUAGCCCCAUUCCUGCUGAGCAGGAGGUGGCAGGUACCCCAGACUGGGAGGUAAGGACAGCCCAGGGCUUCAACUGAACGUCUCCGGCAUGGGUCCGACUGAGCAGCCAUGGAGCACUGCAGAGUGGGAGGCAGCAGGGCAGGGAGGCAGUGCUGGAGGCUGGCUCAACCCCAAGACCAGCAGGCCAAGCUGCCAUCCCAGGGGAGCGAGGACGUCUGUGCAGAGCUGAGAGGCAGCAGCCAUAUGUGAACAGACUGGGCCUCAUCCUGGCCCCACCGACUUUGUGUGGACAGAGCCUGUUUCCCUGUCUGUGCAACACAGAACCUGCCUGAUCUCACUGCUGGAUCCCUCUUCUUCCUGCCAGGAAAAUAAAAAGGUUCAAAAAGAAGUUGCUGCGUAUCCAUCUGAGGCCUCUGAGGACAGCAAAGAGCAAAGGCCCUGGGACCGGGUCUCCGUGCCCAUGACAGAGCUCUGGCUGGACUGGUUCUGAGCCUCUAACACCCCCAAGACUCAGAACCGUGAAGAAAAUCUUUCCAAUAAAUCCAAGAGUUGCUGCUGCUAUAGGCCAGGCUGCCACCUUUCGGGGCCUCCGUCUUCAGACAAACCCAGCCUGGCUUCAUCCACACUCCCUGUCCCCACAGCUGCAGGAACAGCACUUCCUGCCACCGAGCCAUGUGACCACAGUGGAUUGUCUCUGGAGGGGCCCAAGGGGGCCCUGGCCACCCUUCUGACUGACUCGGUGCCAGAGGACAGACCAACGUCCCUCUCGUGCUGACAGCCGGGCCGCACCCUGGCAUGAGGGCAUUUACAGAAAUGCUGGCGGAACUGCUGCCAGGGAGGCUGUAGGGUCCUCUGGCAAAAGAGGCCUCAGGUGGCUCCUCAGAGUGUCUGGUUCUCUGUCCCAGGCUGUUCCCUAAGAAGGUCUGCCCAGGACUCAGGUCACCACCCCCAGGAGACCUGGAGGACUGAAUGCUGCUGUCCCCAAGGAGGAGGCUGCCGUCUUAUCCCAGGAGGGAGAGCAGGUGAAGUCCCCAGGGGAGGAAGCACCUAGCCCCAUUCCUGCUGAGCAGGAGGUGGCAGGUACCCCAGACUGGGAGGUAAGGACAGCCUGGGGCUUCAACUGGAACAUCUCCAGCAUGGGUCCGACUGAGCAGCCAUGGAGCACUGCAGAGUGGGAGGCAGCAGGGCAGGGAGGCAGUGCUGGAGGCUGGCUCAACCCCAAGACCAGCAGGCCAAGCUGCCAUCCCAGGGGAGCGAGGACGUCUGUGCAGAGCUGAGAGGCAGCAGCCAUAUGUGAACAGACUGGGCCUCAUCCUGGCCCCACCGACUUUGUGUGGACAGAGCCUGUUUCCCUGUCUGUGCAACACAGAACCUGCCUGAUCUCACUGCUGGAUCCCUCUUCUUCCUGCCAGGAAAAUAAAAAGGUUCAAAAGGAAGUUGCUGCGUAUCCAUCUGAGGCCUCUGAGGACAGCAAAGAGCAAAGGCCCUGGGACCGGGUCUCCGUGCCCAUGACAGAGCUCUGGCUGGACUGGUUCUGAGCCUCUAACACCCCCAAGACUCAGAACCGUGAAGAAAAUCUUUCCAAUAAAUCCAAGAGUUGCUGCUGCUAUAGGCCAGGCUGCCACCUUUCGGGGCCUCCGUCUUCAGACAAACCCAGCCUGGCUUCAUCCACACUCCCUGUCCCCACAGCUGCAGGAACAGCACUUCCUGCCACGGAGCCGUGUGACCACAGUGGAUUGUCUCUGGAGGGGCCCAAGGGGGCCCUGGCCACCCUUCUGAUUGACUCGGUGCCAGGGGACAGACCAACGUCCCUCUCGUGCUGACAGCCGGGCCGCACCCUGGCAUGAGGGCAUUUACAGAAAUGUUGGCGGAACUGCUGCCAGGGAGGCUGUAGGGUCCUCUGGCAAAAGAGGCCUCAGGUGGCUCCUCAGAGUGUCUGGUUCUCUGUCCCAGGCUGUUCCCUAAGAAGGUCUGCCCAGGACUCAGGUAAUCAUAUGCUCAUUAGAAACUCUUGGGCACUGCCUGUGUGCCCAGCCCAGCCCCUUAUGUCGGUGAGGACAGACGUGGAGGACAGCAGUCCCUGCCCUUGGUUGGGGCUCCAGGCCAGCAAGGGCCACAGCCCCAGAAGGCAGAGCAGGAAGACAGGACUCGGGGCAGGUGAAGCAGCCU
rnacentral:antisense_RNA from 1 species